ensembl:lncRNA
AUGCCAUGUGUGGUGUGUAGGGUGGUGUGUCCAUGCCGUGUGUGGUGUGUAGGGUGGUGUGUGCUGUGCCAUGUGUGGUGUGUAAGGUGGUGUGUCCAUGCCGUGUGUCAUGUGUGCUGUCCCAUGUGCGGUGUGUGGGGUGCUGUGUGCCAUGCCAUGUGCAGUGUGCAGGGUGAUGUGCUGGUGCUCAGGGUGAGUGUAUGCUGUACCACAGCUCCUGCUCCACUGGCACUGCCCCUUGGGCCCCAGCCAUGCCACUGGAUGUGCUCCCUCGGCACUGGGCUGGCAGAGGCUGGUUUAAGGUGUGUUUUAACUGUUCUCAGUGCCCCUCUCAGAGCCUCACAUGUGGUAUCAGUGCAAGUCUCUGUGGCUGGUGCUCCAGCAGGGCUUGACACUGCACAAGAGCAUUGCAGGAUGAGGCUUUUCAGCAGUGAGGCCCCCCCAGCUCCCAGCAAAGGGCUGCUCCCCACUCUCGCUGUGUCCAUGGCAGGCACCUUCCUUCAGCUGCGGUGACAAAACCAACUGUGUUUACAAGGGCCAAAAUUUCUACAGGUGGCCUUUGGCCAAUGCCCCUGAGGAUCCUUUGGCCAGCCUGCCUCAAGCCCAGCUGGAGCCCUCAGGGAACCACGAGAGCCUGAAAACAGGGAUAAUACUGGGACAUCAGAAUUAUGCCUAUCCCUGCAUGAGGAACUGCUUCAGUGGGGAACCAAUGAACUUGAUACUUGACUUUUGCCUUUUAAUAGUAUUUUCAACACAAUACAUGGAAGGUAAGGGAAGGAAAUUCCCGUAGUGCUGGAUCUUGUGUCACAGCCUCAGGAAGCUGUUUGUGCCAAGCUGGCAUGGCUCUUGGGGAGGUGAAAGGAAUGAAAUAACUCAGCAUCUGUGCGAACUUGAGCAGGGGCUGAACAGUGGAAACACUCCUGCAAUGGGGUUAUAUUUUACAAACAAUUGGCUUUUGACACCAUUCUUGUCUGGAAGUCUGAUUUGCAGAGGAAUUUGUAUGAUAAGUUUAAAUCCAGCCCUGUUCUGAGAAGCUCUUAAGCAUGGACCUAAAAUAGGCACAUACUUCAGUGCUGGUAAAGUGUUCAUUCUGAUGAACAGUUGGGGAACAACCCUCGGAUGCUGUUCCUGAACAGGGUGCUCUGGAGAGCUGUCUCCUCACUGUGCUCUUACAGGAAUAGGCAAUACUGACAAAGACAUUGUUUUACUGAUCUGGGCACACUUCUUGGAAGGGUCUGCAAGUGUCGGGGGAAGAUGCCCUCUGUGUUGGAUUAUUUUAUACUGCAGACUUUGGUGCUUUUAAAAAAAAAUAAUCACUACAUUUCUGUAGCCAUGGUUUACCCAGAGUAAUACAUGGUGUUUUUUAUGGUGGAUGUUAUUUUUCUUUAAGGUUACAAAUAGGUUAUUUAUAUUUUUGUAAAUUCUGUGUUGUUACCAUUGUAAUUCUGAUGUAACAUUGCUUGUUAGGUUUGGGGUGUUGUCUGUGUUCAAAUCUAGCAGUAGCUGAAGCUCCUGCCUUCUGUGUUAAUGGUGGGAGUUCCCCCACAUUCCUCCAGACCUGGUGCUCUUGAGUGCUGUGUGUUUGUAGUUCAAUAAAUUUUGGAUCCAGAGGUGAUGAUGCUCA